rnacentral:lncRNA from 1 species
AUUAUUGAAAGACAAUUAGAAUUAAUAAUACAAUAUAUUAUAUAAAAGUAUUUAUACAUUUUUAAAUUUUAGAUUCCUUGGUAUAAGUAACUUGGUUAUGCCUUUAUCCCUCGAUUAAUUCGCAUAAAACGUAGCUGAUAAUCGAACGUUCACUUUUCGACGAGAUACUUGCUACUUCAAUGGCGUAAGAAUUAUGCGAAAGUUCCUCUUGUCGCGGUUGAUGGCGCUGUGAUGUGGAUGUGGGUAAGCCGACAAUUUCAACGGAACCAAUGAAGUUACGACUUCCACCGGUAGAAACGACGGUUUAACUGCGCGUAUAAACUGCUACCUUCAGAAAUGUUGUCAAACUUCAACGUUCGCCCUCUUUCACAACCGUUCGAACUAUUAAACUGUGCUAACAUUUUGCACCUGUCGUGGAUCGAGUGAUUGCGUCACGUGAUGAGCAUUAACGAUAAUUGAUUAGACCUUUUUGCAAAGAUUUCGGUUUUGCUGGAAAGACUCGGAAUUUAGUAAUUGAAUUUCACUUUUUCUGCCCGAAUGACGGUGAUAUAUCGCAACUCAUCAGCAUCUCAUAUUCUGCGAGAGAUAAAUUCAUCGUGAGAGUGACUUAAACUUAUCCACAAGAAAAGUGAAUAGAUACGUUUUCUAGAAACUCGGCUCAAUUUAAUCAGUCAGUGUAAUCUGAUCCUAUUGACAAAGGCAGUGAGUUGUUUGGUUAAUUAUAAGGAGAGCAAACGAGAAAGACAUAACCUACAAUACAAUAAUUCAGAUCCUAGAUUAUUUCUCUUAGAUUAAUCAGGUUUUUAUUUCAGAUCCUUUUAAAAAAAUGAAAUACUGAGACAAUCAACUUUAUACGAGAUUUUCGGUGUACCUCGAAUUUCAACGCGAUUUUCGAUCGGAAGUAUUAAAGGAAAGGUCGUUAAGCUCGUGCACAGAAAGGGUCCAAAGGAUCCUUGUAUAACUUAUUUACCAACGUUCGCAUAUAGAGAUAGAUUCGGUAAACUACAGGGUUUGGCGUGUACACACGAAGGAAGGCGCAAGAUUGCAACGGGGAUUAAAAUAUUUCAAAAGGCCAGGGGUGGCCAGGUUUUCGGCCAAACGCGUAGAGUAAUGGUUCUUUUAAAUUUCUAAGCUGACCCAGAUACCCGCGCGGGUCGAGAGACAGAAGGUGUGUACACGAGCCACUCCUGUGAGAUCUUGCUUGAAGCAAGAUAAAAAAAAAAAGAAGCCUCCUCUUUCUCUUUAACGAUCAAGAAUUUCUUUUGGCGAUCUUUCUGCGGUAUUCAUAUUAAUGGUCGUUGGCGUCUUCCAAAGGGUGAUCACGUUUCUGCUGUAGCUGUAUUUCAACCUCGAUGUCGGCGGGGAUAAUCGUUUCAAGUGACCGUGGUAAUUAUUCGCAAACCGUUUUCAAAGCGUCUUGCCUUGGAAUUGGGUCGAGUUUAUUCCGUUUCGAGGGACGGAUAAAGAAUCUUGAGAAUAUCGGGAAUUUGAUUAUGUAAAAAUAUCGGACGAGAAAGAAUGUAUAUAGUUUCGUAGAAUUGUUAAAUAUGCAUUCGUGGGAGAAAAGAGACUUUAUCGACUUGAGGUAACUUUUCAUUUAAUUAAGAAUCUUGACAGAUGUAUUAUUAAUCGUGAAAAGUAAGAAAAGAAACUAUCUCGUGAUAUAUGAACCGUUUAAAACUUGAUCAAACUCUAUUAAAAUUAGAAAAAAUUUGAACCAUUGCAAUUCCGAAAAUAGCGACUUCCGGUCAACGAAUGAAAGAUCGUUGGAAGCGUGGAACUUUACCCUUUAAAACGAAUCUUCGUUCGUCACGAUACGACUUCCGGUUCUCGAGAUAUCAUCGUGUAAAGAAAAGGUAAUUUUCAAUCAUUUAUCUCGAAUCCCAUUGAAUUCUGUUAUUGAAAUUAGGAAAAGUUUGUAACCGCUGUAACUUUGAAAAUAAUAACUUUCGAACAACGAAUAAAAGAUCAUUAGAAUCGUGAAAUCUUGCUCUUUAAAACGGUUUCUCAUUCGUCACAAUACGUCUUCCGGUUCCUGAGAUAUCGUCGUAUAAAGAAAACCGUAAUUUUUAAUCGUUCAUCGUCUCGUUUACCGACCUAUCCUUACCGACUUAUUCCAAGCUUCGAACAAGCGGCAGAAACGGUUCGUAGAAAAAUAUAAUUAUUUCGUCUUUCUUCGUGAUGCGUAUAUAUAAAUUAAUCGUACGUGAUUUUUAUUUUUUAUACAAUUUAUAUCAAUAAUCCGAGAGGAAGGGAAGAAAUUAGAAAAAAAUAAAAGAAUGAAAUUAUAAAGAUUUGUGUUUGAAAACAUAUUUCAAUAUUUACGCGAGUGUUUACUUGGACAAUCGUAGCGUUGGUCAUUUUUCCUUCGCGCAACUCCACCCUAUAUUUACAAGAGUUCGCGCUUUGUCAUUGUUUUCCCUCGACUCGUAUUUCUCCAUUCCACCAGCCUCUUUCUUUUCUUCUUUUUUUUUUUUUCCUGUUGUUGAAAACCAACAGGGAAUUGGAACAAUGAGCUCGUUUAUAGUGACGAUUUAAUUUCGUUAAUUAACCGGGCACUUUGCUUCCAAGCGAAAACAAUUACGAUAUAGAAAAAAAAACUAAAAACAUGAUUCGUAUAAAAAAUUUUUAACCUCCAUUUAGAAAUAAUAACAUAAUUUUUUUGUUUUGUUUUCAAACAACAACGUUCGUCGCAACAACAAUAAUUUUAACGUGAUGCAGUAUUUCUAGGAAAAUAUGAACGUUCCUCGUUAAAUUGGAAUAACAAUGCAAUUCUAACUUGUGCCAUUUAUUCUUAUAUUCGUUUCAUUGAAAGCUAAUGGAAAAGAAUUUAUGGAUUUACGCGUAUUUUCUGAUGGAAGGAAAAAAUAAAUCGUUUGUAAUAAAACAACGAGGAUAAAAAUAAAAAUGAACGGGAAAUAUAUUUUAUUGCAAAUU